GGAUGAACGCUGGCUGUGUGCCUAAUACAUGCAUGUCGAGCGGAGUUCUUCGGAACUUAGCGGCGAAUGGGUGAGUAACACGUACUUAACAUGCCCUCUAGAUUGGAAUAACGAUUAGAAAUGAUCGCUAAUGCCGGAUACUUAUAUCUUUCGCAUGAAGGAUAUAUAAAAGGAGCGUUUGCUUCGCUAGAGGAUUGGGGUGCGUAACAUUAGCUAGUUGGUAGGGUAAUGGCCUACCAAGGCUAUGAUGUUUAGCGGGGUUGAGAGACUGAUCCGCCACACUGGGACUGAGAUACGGCCCAGACUCCUACGGGAGGCAGCAGUAGGGAAUUUUCCACAAUGGACGAAAGUCUGAUGGAGCGACACAGCGUGCAGGAUGACGGCCUUCGGGUUGUAAACUGCUGUUAUAAGGGAAGAAAAAAUAAAGUAGGAAAURACUUUAUCUUGACGGUACCUUGUCAGAAAGCAACGGCUAACUAUGUGCCAGCAGCCGCGGUAAUACAUAGGUUGCAAGCGUUAUCCGGAAUUAUUGGGCGUAAAGCGUCUGUAGGUUGUUUGUUAAGUCUGACGUGAAAACUUGGGGCUCAACCCCAAAUUGCGUUGGAUACUGGCAAACUAGAGUUAUGAAGAGGUUAGCGGAAUUCCUUGUGAAGCGGUGAAAUGCGUAGAUAUAAGGAAGAACACCAACUUGGCGAAGGCAGCUAACUGGGCAUACACUGACACUGAGAGACGAAAGCGUGGGGAGCAAACAGGAUUAGAUACCCUGGUAGUCCACGCUGUAAACGAUGAUGAUUAGCUGAUGGGGAACUCAUCGGCACAGCUAACGCAUUAAAUCAUCCGCCUGAGUAGUAUGCUCGCAAGAGUGAAACUUAAAGGAAUUGACGGGGAUCCGCACAAGCGGUGGAGCAUGUGGUUUAAUUUGAAGAUACGCGUAGAACCUUACCCACUCUUGACAUCUUCCGCAAAGCUAUAGAGAUAUAGUGGAGGCUAACGGAAUGACAGAUGGUGCAUGGUUGUCGUCAGCUCGUGUCGUGAGAUGUUCGGUUAAGUCCUGCAACGAGCGCAACCCUUGUCCUUAGUUAAAUGUUCUAAGGAGACUGCCCGAGUAAUUGGGAGGAAGGUGGGGACGACGUCAAAUCAUCAUGCCUCUUACGAGUGGGGCAACACACGUGCUACAAUGGACGGUACAAAGAGACGCAAUACGGCGACGUGGAGCAAAUCUCAAAAAACCGUUCUCAGUUCGGAUUGUAGUCUGCAACUCGACUACAUGAAGUCGGAAUCGCUAGUAAUCGUAGAUCAGCUACGCUACGGUGAAUACGUUCUCGGGUCUUGUACACACCGCCCGUCACACCAUGGGAGCUGGUAAUGCCCGAAGUCGGUUUUGUUAACUACGGAGACAACUGCCUAAGGCAGGACUGGUGACUGGGGUGAAGUCGUAACAAGGUAUCCCUACGAGAACGUGGGGAUGGAUUACCUCCUUUCUACGGAGUACACCUUAGUACAACAAGUACUGAUAACAAUGACUAAAUAAUUUUUAAUGUCAUGUGCUAAUGUUUUAGUCCACUAGUGUAUAUCUAGUUUUGAGGGAACUUUCUCUCAUGAUCUUUGAAAACUGAAUAGUUAUACAUUUUUAAUAUAACAACGACAUCAUUAAACAAAAUAAAGAUUAUGUCUUAUUUGUUUUGAUACCGAGUUAAUAAAUUUAAUUUAUUAAAAUGUCUUAAAAUACAUCAACAAUAGGUAAAUAUUGUACUUUUAAAUAAGUAAGAGUUUAUGGUGGAUGCCUUGGGUCUGGAAGUCGAUGAAGGACGUGAUAACCUGCGAUAAGCCUCGUGGAGCUGGAAAUGCGCUAUGAAACGGGGAUUUCCGAAUGGGGAAACCUAACUAGAGUAAAGUCUAGUUGCUUUCUAAUGAAUAAAAUAGUUAGAUAGACGAGACACGUUGUGAACUGAAACAUCUUAGUAGCAACAGGAAGAGAAAAUAAAUAAUGAUUCUAUUAGUAGCGGCGAGCGAAAAUGGAAGAGCCCAAACCAACACAUGUUGGGGUUGUAGGACAGCCUUUUUAAGUUACAAAAUUGUAGUAUAGCAGAAAAACUUGGAAAAGUUUAGCAUAGAAGGUGAAACUCCUGUAUGCGAAAUAUUACAAUCUUAUGGCUGUAUCCUGAGUAGGGCGGGGCACGUGAAACCCUGUCUGAAUCUGCCGRGACCAUCCGGUAAGGCUAAAUACUAACCAGACACCGAUAGUGAACUAGUACCGUGAGGGAAAGGUGAAAAGAACCCCGGGAGGGGAGUGAAAUAGAUUCUGAAACCAUUUACUUACAAUUAGUCAGAGCCCGUUAACGGGUGAUGGCGUACAUCUUGCAGUAUGGACCGGCGAGUUAUGUUAACAUGCGAGGUUAAGUGGAAAAAAGCGGAGCCGUAGAGAAAUCGAGUCUUAAUAGGGCGUUUAGUAUGUUGAUAUAUACCCGAAACCAUGUGAUCUAUUCAUGAGCAGGUUGAAGCUUGGYUAAUCCCAAGUGGAGGACCGAACCGUAGUACGCUGAAAAGUGCCCGGAUGACUUGUGAAUAGUGGAGAAAUUCCAAUCGAACUUGGAGAUAGCUGRUUCUCCUCGAAAUAGCUUUAGGGCUAGCGUGUGAUGUUAAAUCUUGGUGGUAGAGCACUGAAUAUGGAAUGGCCGCGCCUAGCGGUACUGACUAUAAUCAAACUCCGAAUACCAUUAUGUAUUAUCAUGCAGUCGGAACCGGGGUGCUAACGUCCCGGCUCGCGAGGGAAACAACCCAGAUCGUCAGCUAAGGUCCCAAAAUCGUGUUAAGUGAGAAAGGUUGUGAGAUUUCAUAAACAACUAGGAAGUUGGCUUAGAAGCAGCCAUCUUUUAAAGAGUGCGUAAUAGCUCACUAGUCAAGAGAUCUUGCGCCAAUAAUUUAACGGGACUAAAACACGAUACCGAAGCUACGGGUACAUUUGUACGUUAGAGGAGCGUUCUUAUCAGCAUUGAAGCAUGACCGUGAGGACAUGUGGAGCGUUAAGAAGUGAGAAUGCCGGUAUGAGUAACGAUUCGUGGUGAGAAUCCACGACGCCUAUUGGGGAAGGUUUCCUGGGCAAGGUUCGUCCACCCAGGGUUAGUCAGGACCUAAGGARAGGCUGAAAAGCGUAUUCGAUGGACAACAGGUUAAUAUUCCUGUACUGAGAGUAGUGUGAUGGAGUGACGGAGAAGGAUAGCAGUACCCAUUAUCGGAUUUGGGGGUAAGCAAUAACUGGUCAGUGUAGUUAAAUGCGCACUGUAUAACCGGGAGUUGUGAUGCAUAGUGAACGGCAACAAGUAACGAAUUCUGUGAUUUCAUGCUUCCAAGAAAAGCUUCUAAACUUUAAACUACUUAUCACCUGUACCGAGAACGGACACACGUCCCCGAGAUGAGUAUUCUAAGGCGAGCGAGAAAACCAAUGUUAAGGAACUCUGCAAAUUGACCCCGUAAGUUCGCGAGAAGGGGCGCCCAUGUAAAUGGGCCACAGUAAAUUUUGAGGGGCAACUGUUUAUCAAAAACACAGCUCUCUGCUAAACCGCAAGGUGAUGUAUAGGGGGUGAAGCCUGCCCAGUGCCCGAAGGUUAAGCGGAUGCGUUAGCUUUAUGCGAAGCGUUGAAGUGAAGCCCGGGUGAACGGCGGCCGUAACUAUAACGGUCCUAAGGUAGCGAAAUUCCUUGUCGGCUAAAUACUGACCUGCACGAAAGGCGCAAUGAUCUCUCAACUGUCUCAACAUUGGACUCGGUGAAAUUAUGGUCCCAGUGAAAACGCUGGGUACCCGCAUCAAGACGAAAAGACCCCAUGGAGCUUUACUACAACUUCGUAUUGGAACUUGGCCUAACAUGUGUAGGAUAGGUGGGAGACUGUGAUGUUAGGGCGCUAGCCCUAAUGGAGUCGCCGUUGAAAUACCACCCUUGGUAUGUUGAGUUUCUAACUUGCCGCCGUUAUCCGGUGGGAGGACAGUGCGUGGUGGGUAGUUUGACUGGGGCGGUCGCCUCCUAAAAGGUAACGGAGGCGUUCAAAGGUACACUCAAUACGGUCAGAAACCGUAUGCAGAGCGCAAAGGUAGAAGUGUGCUUGACUGCGAGACCUACAAGUCGAGCAGGUGCGAAAGCAGGACUUAGUGAUCCGGCUGUACGUCAUGGAACGGCAGUCGCUCAACGGAUAAAAGUUACCCUGGGGAUAACAGGCUUAUCUUGCCCAAGAGAUCACAUCGACGGCAAGGUUUGGCACCUCGAUGUCGGCUCAUCGCAUCCUGGAGCUGGAGUCGGUUCCAAGGGUUUGGCUGUUCGCCAAUUAAAGCGGUACGCGAGCUGGGUUCAGAACGUCGUGAGACAGUUCGGUCCCUAUCUGAUGUGGGCGUUGGAAUAUUGAUGAGAGCUGCUCUUAGUACGAGAGGACCGGAGUGGACACACCACUGGUGUUCCUGUUGUUUCGCCAGAAGCAUAGCAGGGUAGCCAAGUGUGGAAAGGAUAAACGCUGAAAGCAUCU
rnacentral:rRNA from 1 species